rnacentral:lncRNA from 1 species
AUGGCUGCGAUUCAUCUUCAGGAUAAUUGGGGGCAGAGAACAGAAAAUGCCCGAGCUGGUUUAAUCAGGAAGAGAGUGCUGAUGGGAAGGACACAGGGAGAGCUUGGGGAACCUGUGGAUCUGGGGAUCGCCUGGCCUCAGUGGGUCUGCAGUCCCUGA